GGCGGGGCCUCCCGAGGAGGGAGCGGGCGCCGCGCGGGGGGGGGCGAGGAGAAUGUUGUGGGGCUGACCACCCCCUCCCGCAGCACCGCCCCUGUGGUGGGGCCACGCGGCUGUGUGCGGCCCGCCCGGGCCCUGGGUAGCUGCCGCAGGCAGAGAGCGGGCUGCAAACAGAGCCCGCAUCGGCUCUGUGCUGGAGGUAACAGGGAGGGGCUGGGACAGCGCAGCCCCGCCUCCUCCACCACCGGCCGCCCGGAGCUGCGCGGGCAGCUGUUGCCAUCUACGCAGAUCCGGUGGGUCCCCGCCCCCGCUGCCUGGGGCGGGGCCAGCACAGUGCUGGGGCAGGGGGCGGGAUGUAGACCCCCGCCCCCCAGCUGUGCGUCUCCUCCCGCUUAUAUGAGCAAAAAGGACCACUUAGAAUGUGGAGAGGCAUCUUUGAUACUAAACACCGGUGGACACUUUGCUAGGAUUCAGAUAAACAAAUACAGAGGCAAGAAAGAAACAGUAAAUCCCAACCAGUGAAGCUACGUGACAGCAGGGCCAUCACAAGAAAACACGGAAGGAAGAACAAAGGACAGAAAAACUUUAUAAUAGUGGACCUUUGGCAUCAACUGUCAGUCUGUGAGCCCCAGUAACCAUCAUGGGGACUCUUGCCUGUAGAAGUCAAGAUCAAGUUUCACACUGCUGGAAAAAGUAUGGAAAUUUGCUUGUAGCUUUUUAAUCUACUAUGUACUGCAUAGGGGAAUAAACUUUUUGUUGUUGUGGUCUAUUGCCUUCUAAUAUUGUACCUUUCACCUUUUACUGUCCGAGCCCCCAAGGCCUGGAAUAGGCUCCCUCCAGAGGUGGUGCAAGCACCUACUCUGGACUCUUUUAAGAAACAUUCAGAUGCUUAUCUUGCUGGGAUCCUUUG